GGGCAAUUACUCAAGUCCGGCUGAAGAGACAACACUCGAAAUGUUGCAGGGGUUUCACGACCCGCGGGGGUUCGAAUCCCUCAUUGCCCGCCA
rnacentral:tRNA from 1 species